UUAAAGUUAGUUUAUUAAAACGUUAGUUUGUGGUACUAAAAAUGUCUAUUUUAGG
rnacentral:tRNA from 1 species